GACGAACGCUGGCGGCGUGCUUAACACAUGCAAGUCGAACGAAGAUAUGUUGAAAGCUUGCUGAUACAUAUUUUAGUGACGGGCGGGUGAGUAACGCGUGAGGACUUGUCUAGUACAGGGGGACAACAGUUGGAAGCGGCUGCUAAUACCCCAUAAGCCUAAGGGUAAAAGGAGCAAUCCGGUACAUGAGAGACUCGCGUCCUAUCAGCUAGUAGGUGGGGUAACGGCCCACCUAGGCGAAGACGGGUAGCCGGCCUGAGAGGGCGAACGGCCACACUGGAACUGAGACACGGUCCAGACUCCUACGGGAGGCAGCAGUGGGGAAUAUUGGGCAAUGGAGGGAACUCUGACCCAGCGACGCCGCGUGAGUGAAGAAAUCCCUCGGGAUGUAAAGCUCUGUUGUGUGGGAAGAUAAUGACGGUACCACACGAGGAAGCCCCGGCAAACUACGUGCCAGCCGCCGCAGUAA
rnacentral:rRNA from 1 species